AGCGAACGCUGGCGGCAGGCCUAACACAUGCCAGUCGAACGAACUCUUCGGAGUUAGUGGCGGAAGGGUGAGUAACACGUGGGAACGUGCCUUUUGGUUCGGAAUAACUCAGGGAAACUUGUGCUAAUACCGAAUGUGCCCUUCGGGGGAAAGAUUUAUCGCCAUUAGAGCGGCCCGCGUCUGAUUAGCUAGUUGGUGAGGUAACGGCUCACCAAGGCGACGAUCAGUAGCUGGUCUGAGAGGAUGACCAGCCACACUGGGACUGAGACACGGCCCAGACUCCUACGGGAGGCAGCAGUGGGGAAUCUUGCGCAAUGGGCGAAAGCCUGACGCAGCCAUGCCGCGUGAAUGAUGAAGGUCUUAGGAUUGUAAAAUUCUUUCACCGGGGACGAUAAUGACGGUACCCGGAGAAGAAGCCCCGGCUAACUUCGUG
rnacentral:rRNA from 1 species